rnacentral:tRNA from 1 species
UAUUUGGUAGUUUAAAAAAAAAAUAGUAUUAUUUGGAAAUACAGAUGGAUCUCCCAAAUAA